AAAGAAAUCACUAUCCAUACAGCCACAUAAACCUUCAUUGGAGGGAAACAACUAAGGGGUCAAAUCAGCUUCAUCAAAGAUCCGACUAAAACAUCAACCUACAGGGGCUAAAAAUGUCUUAUGAACGGAUUCUCUCUAUCGAGAAUCUGAGUGACGUCCCAAAUCCAUGGAAGGGAUUCACUAUGAACCGCUGUAUAGUGCUGGCACUGGUGGUGCUGCUGGUGAGCUCAGGGGUCAGUGAGCUGCAUGAUGCUAUGGAUUCUUUUGUUGAGGAGACAGGUAUAAGGUCUUUCAUUGGAAGUCUGCAGGAUGGAUCAAUAACUCAGAUUUCCAUUUGGGACAGUUUGACGUGGUGGUGGGGAUCUGAAGAAGUAGGAGCGAUAAGAAGAAGAAAAAAGCCUAUGAGCAACAAAGUCAUUCUGAAACCCAAAAUGAGAGACUGAUGUGUAUACAGCUGCAUGAAGAAAAAUGAUGGUGGAAAACAGCAACAGGUUUCUGUGAGGAACACAAAGAAGUAUUUAAUAUACCUUACUUUUAUUAAUAUAAAGAUACAGAACGUUACAUCAAUUUUCAUACCAUGAUAUAUUUACUUUCAAAUAACUUCUUGGAUAAAUACUUUUUUUUAACAGUGAGGAUAAUGUGUACAUUCAAGACAAAGACAAAGACCUCUCG